rnacentral:rRNA from 1 species
GUUUGAUCCUGGCUCAGGAUGAACGCUAGCUACAGGCUUAACACAUGCAAGUCGAGGGGCAGCAUGAACUUAGCUUGCUAAGUUUGAUGGCGACCGGCGCACGGGUGAGUAACACGUAUCCAACCUUCCGUUUACUCAGGGAUAGCCUUUCGAAAGAAAGAUUAAUACCUGAUAGUAUGGUGAGAUUGCAUGAUAGCACCAUUAAAGAUUUAUUGGUAAACGAUGGGAUGCGUUCCAUUAGGUAGUAGGCGGGGUAACGGCCCACCUAGCCGACGAUGGAUAGGGGUUCUGAGAGGAAGGUCCCCCACAUUGGAACUGAGACACGGUCCAAACUCCUACGGGAGGCAGCAGUGAGGAAUAUUGGUCAAUGGGCGAGAGCCUGAACCAGCCAAGUAGCGUGAAGGAUGAAGGUCCUACGGAUUGUAAACUUCUUUUAUACGGGAAUAAAGUAUCCUACGUGUAGGAUUUUGUAUGUACCGUAUGAAUAAGCAUCGGCUAACUCCGUGCCAGCAGCCGCGGUAAUACGGAGGGUGCGAGCGUUAUCCGGAUUUAUUGGGUUUAAAGGGAGCGCAGACGGGAGAUUAAGUCAGUUGUGAAAGUUUGCGGCUCAACCGUAAAAUUGCAGUUGAUACUGGUUUCCUUGAGUGCAGUUGAGGCAGGCGGAAUUCGUGGUGUAGCGGUGAAAUGCUUAGAUAUCACGAAGAACUCCGAUUGCGAAGGCAGCUCACUGGAGCGCAACUGACGCUGAAGCUCGAAAGUGCGGGUAUCGAACAGGAUUAGAUACCCUGGUAGUCCGCACGGUAAACGAUGGAUGCCCGCUGUUGGUCUGAAUAGGUCAGCGGCCAAGCGAAAGCAUUAAGCAUCCCACCUGGGGAGUACGCCGGCAACGGUGAAACUC